AUAUCAAUAAGCGGAGGAAAAGAAACUAACAAGGAUUCCCCUAGUAACUGCGAGUGAAGCGGGAAAAGCUCAAAUUUAAAAUCUGGCGGUCUUGCGGCCGUCCGAGUUGUAAUCUGGAGAAGCGUUUAUCCGCGUCGGACCGUGUACAAGUCUUCUGGAAGGGAGCGUCGUAGAGGGUGAGAAUCCCGUCUUUGACACGGACAACCGGUGCUUUUGUGAUGCGCUCUCGAAGAGUCGAGUUGUUUGGGAAUGCAGCUCAAAAUGGGUGGUAAAUUCCAUCUAAAGCUAAAUAUUGGCGAGAGACCGAUAGCGAACAAGUACCGUGAGGGAAAGAUGAAAAGCACUUUGGAAAGAGAGUUAAACAGUACGUGAAAUUGUUGAAAGGGAAACGUUUGAAGUCAGUCGCGUCGGCCGAGACUCAACCUUGCUUCUGCUCGGUGCACUUCUCGGUUGACGGGUCAGCAUCAAUUUUGACCGCCGGAUAAAGGUCGGGGGAAUGUGGCAUCCUUCGGGAUGUGUUAUAGACCUCGUUCGGAUACGGCGAUUGGGAUUGAGGAACUCGGCGCUUUGCGUCCAGGAUGCUGGCAUAAUGGCUUUAAGCGA
rnacentral:rRNA from 1 species